AGUGAACGCUGGCGGUAGGCCUAACACAUGCAAGUCGAACGGCAGCACAGUAAGAGCUUGCUCUUACGGGUGGCGAGUGGCGGACGGGUGAGGAAUACAUCGGAAUCUACUUUUUCGUGGGGGAUAACGUAGGGAAACUUACGCUAAUACCGCAUACGACCUACGGGUGAAAGCAGUGGAUCUUCGGACCUUGCGCGAUUGAAUGAGCCGAUGUCGGAUUAGCUAGUUGGCGGGGUAAAGGCCCACCAAGGCGACGAUCCGUAGCUUGUCUGAGAGGAUGGUCAGCCACACUGGAACUGAGACACGGUCCAGACUCCUAAGGGAGGCAGCAGUGGGGAAUAUUGGACAAUGGGCGCAAGCCUGAUCCAGCCAUACCGCGGGGGUGAAGAAGGCCUUCGGGUUGUAAAGACCUUUUGUUGGGAAAGAAAAGCAGCAGGUUAAUACCCCGCUGUUCUGACGGUACCCAAAGAAUAAGCACCGGCUAACUUCGUGC
rnacentral:rRNA from 1 species